AGCCGAUGACGUACAACCCAAGUGUGCAAGUAACAAUGUUGAAGGCUUAGAGCAUUUCUUCAAGACGUUCUACACAUCAAAGAAUCAAUGAUGAACAACCAAGCAACUUGACUGUAACCUGCUGUUGACAAAAAGGUGAGCCAACCUCCAAAGAUGUUGGUACAUAAACAUCAUCCAAGUGACUGUCACGGGGCACUGAGAUGCACACCUUCAUCCCAUGUCAACCCAAUGAACAUGUACACCCAGAUAGAAAGAAAAUGUGUGCCAUUCUUCGAUGAGUACCCAUCCAAAGUGUUGUGUCAGAGACCUGCAAGUGCCUACCAUCUACCCAAUCAUCCAUCGUCCAUCUACACAACUUAGAAAUGCGUGCCACACAAAGUAAUGGUAUCAAAUCCCUGCAAGUGCCUACCAUCUACCCAGUCAUCCAUCAACCAUCUACACAACAUAGAAAUGCGUGCCCUUCCUGGAUGAAUACACAAAGUAAUGGUGUCAGAGACCUGCAAGUGCCUACCAUCUACCCAGUCAUCCCUGUAGCAUCUACACAACAUAGAAAUGCUUGCCUUUCUUGGAUGAAUACACAAAGUAAUGGUGUCAGAGACCUGCAAGUGCCUGCCCUAUCAUCCAUUAACCAUCUACACAACAUA